rnacentral:misc_RNA from 1 species
AAUCCGCGAAAAGUGGUGCGAUGUGCAAUCUUUGAGAGUCACUGAAUAUUUGAACGCAAAUGGCACUGCAUGCAGAUGCAGAGUGCUUGGCUGAGCAUUGGACAGAAUGAGAAAUCGACAUGGAUGCUGCGAUGCGGUGUCUGAAAAGCAAGCGUGGCCGUGUGCGACUGGAAUGGGGAAUGAGUCGUGCAAAGGGGGACUGCGAGUUGUGGGGAUGGAUGUGAAUCAAUCUCAGCUCAAGCAAGAUGACCCGCUGAACUUAA